GACACUAUAGCUUAGUGGUUGAGCGCACGAUUGCAAUCUACGGACAACAAUCGUGCGGUCCCGUGUUCGACCCACGGUAGUGUCU